UGAUGAGGGCAGCCAUUUUGGACCUAGGGCUGCCCAUAUAAACAGGACAGUUCUGCUACUGGAGGCCAGGCAACAACAUUGACUAACCAGAGGGCUGCUGGUAUCAUCUGGAGACAAGGGAGGAGCUGUAGGGGGAUGGGGGAACACGACCACCAGGAGAUGAUGCAAUAUUCACCAUGCUGUCAAGGAAAGGAACAGACCUAUUUCUUAUUGAACAUGGGUCUAGCUUCAUUUAACAUGAACUGAAAGUUGCCUCCUGAAAAUCUAUUGACAAGGCCUUCAAGGAAAAGGCCUCUGUGUAGAAACCUGCUGAUAAGUUAGCCCCAGGCCACUUUCCAGUAAGAAGUCACAACUCUACAAUGAUGGAAAGGAUCAUUAAAGAACAGCCUUGCAGUAGGUUCUCUCUGUACCUGUAGACAGCCCGCUUG